UACAGAGGUCUCAAGCGUUGUUCGGAUUCAUUGGGCGUAAAGGGUGCGUAGGUGGCGGGGUAAGUCAGGUGUGAAAUUUCGGAGCUUAACUCCGAAACUGCAUUUGAUACUGCCUUGCUUGAGGACUGGAGAGGAGACUGGAAUUCACGGUGUAGCAGUGAAAUGCGUAGAGAUCGUGAGGAAGACCAGUGGCGAAGGCGGGUCUCGUGGGCCGAUAUCGACGCUGAGGAGCGAAAGCGUGGGGAGCGAACAGG
rnacentral:rRNA from 1 species